GUGGGCCGCGUAUUGGGCUUCUUUGAGUCCUUUCCUUUCUUCCAGAUUGGAAGGAGGCUGUAGGCCUUUGUGGGCCCGGUUGCCUAACACGUGUUUGCGUUUUUAGGGUGAUUUUAGUCCCCUGAUUAGGGUGCCCCUAAUUAUGAUACCCGACAGUACUUCACGAACAUCAAAUUCUCAAGAGUAACAGUUUCAUGACGACGACGUGCCGCUUGCCGCCGACAAGGUGGGUCGGUUCAGGAUACCGUUGGACGGCAGCCUGUCCAACUUCUCCAACACCCUCACCAAGAUCGACCUGGCCGAGAAGACGACUAAGAACUGGCACGCGGUGGGCGUCAUGCCGUUGGAGCCCUUCUUCGUGGCCAGGCCCGGAGCGACAGGCGAAGACUAUGGAGUGGUGAUAUCUAUUGUAAGCGCCCUAGGUGGAGAUGGCUAUGCGCUAGUGCUGGACGCGGCGACGUUCCAAGAGAUUGCUCGUGUGAGGUUCCCCUAUGGCCUGCCCUACGGCUUCCACGGUUGCUGGAUCCCUGAAAAGAUCUUACCAGGCCGUUUUGACGGCAAUGCACAAGUUGAUUAGCUAAUAGUACUGCACUAUAUAUCGAAGUGCCAUAGUGCACCAAUAUCUAAAUUUCUAAACAAA